UAGGGAAUCUUCGGCAAUGGACGAAAGUCUGACCGAGCAACGCCGCGCGAGUGAAGAAGGCUUUCGGAUCGUAAAACUCUGUUGUUAGAGAAGAACAAGGACGUUAGUAACUGAACGUCCCCUGACGGUAUCUAACCAGAAAGCCACGGCUAACUACGUGCCAGCAGCCGCGGUAAUACGUAGGUUGCAAGCGUUGUCCGGAUUUAUUGGGCGUAAAGCGAGCGCAGGCGGUUUCUUAAGUCUGAUGUGAAAGCCCCCGGCUCAACCGGGGAGGGUCAUUGGAAACUGGGAGACUUGAGUGCAGAAGAGGAGGGUGGAAUUCCAUGUGUAGCGGUGAAAUGCGUGGAUAUAUGGAGGAACACCAGUGGCGAAGGCGGCUCUCUGGUCUGUAACUGACGCUGAGGCUCGAAAGCGUGGGGGGCAAACAGG
rnacentral:rRNA from 1 species